CAGUCGCCGCGGUAAUACGUAGGUGGCAAGCGUUGUCCGGAAUUAUUGGGCGUAAAGGGCUCGCAGGCGGUUUCUUAAGUCUGAUGUGAAAGUCCCCGGCUCAACCGGGGAGGGUCAUUGGAAACUGGGAAACUUGAGUGCAGAAGAGGAGAGUGGAAUUCCACGUGUAGCGGUGAAAUGCGUAGAGAUGUGGAGGAACACCAGUGGCGAAGGCGACUCUCUGGUCUGUAACUGACGCUGAGGAGCGAAAGCGUGGGGAGCGAACAGGAUUAGAUACCCCCGUAGUCCCUGUCUCUUAUAA
rnacentral:rRNA from 1 species